rnacentral:rRNA from 1 species
UACAGAGGGUGCGAGCGUUAAUCGGAGUUACUGGGCGUAAAGGGCGCGUAGGCGGUUAUUUAAGAUUGAUGUGAAAUCCCUGGGCUUAACCUAGGAACUGCAUUGAUUACUGGAUAGCUGGAGUAUUGUAGAGGGUAGCGGAAUUUCCGGUGUAGCGGUGAAAUGCGUAGAGAUCGGAAGGAACACCAGUGGCGAAGGCGGCUACCUGGACAAAUACUGACGCUGAGGCGCGAAAGCGUGGGGAGCAAACAGG